GGGGGUGUACUGGCUUUCGACGCGGUGUGUGAUUCUCAGACAGCAUGUCGAGGAUGUCGGUUGGCCUCGUAAAACAUCCGGCAAAACAAUAAAUGCAGAAGAUUAUUCUUAUGCAAUGGCUGCUUAAUUAAAAGUAGCCGACCGUCUGGUUGGGUAGCGUUCCCUGGUUAGGCGGUCCACUUUGAACGCUGGGUAUGCGGGAUGCAUCGACUGUGUACCGAGAACUAUAGGUGCUGGUUUUGUGCCCAGCCUGUCUUUCGGCGGAGUAUAAAACGAGAUUAAAUGAAAGGCUAAACAUGUAGCGGUCUGUGUUGAGUGCAUCGCGGACAGGGGUUCGACUCCCCUCACCUCCACCA
rnacentral:tmRNA from 1 species